rnacentral:rRNA from 1 species
UACGGAGGGUGCAAGCGUUGUCCGGAUUUAUUGGGUUUGAAGGGUGCGUAGGCGGCCCGUUAAGUCAGUGGUGAAAGCCUCCAGCUCAACUGGAGAACUGCCAUUGAUACUGACGGGCUUGAGUACAGACGAGGUAGGCGGAAUUGAUUGUGUAGCGGUGAAAUGCAUAGAUACAAUCAAGAACUCCGAUUGCGUAGGCAGCUUACUAGGCUGUAACUGACGCUGAGGCACGAAAGCGUGGGGAGCGAACAGG